AAAGCCAAACGAGCCUAGUGAUAGCUGGUUACUUGAUAAAAGAAUUUUAGUUCUACCUAAAGCUCCCAUAAGUCUAAUAAACUAACAUUAAUGCUUUAGAGUUAUUCAAAUAAGGUACAGCCUAUUUGAAUAAGGAAACAACCUAAACUAAUGGGUUAACUCUGCUAUAGUGUACCAAAGUGGGCCUAAAAGCAGCCACCUUCAACAAUAGCGUCAAAGCUUUUCUACACAACCGCACUCAAUCUCUCAACCCAAUCUAAACCCUUUAUUUACAUCAAGUAAUUCUAUAUGUUUAUAGAAUAUAAAAUGUUAAAACUAGUAACAAGAAGAAAACCCUUCUCUUAAAUGUGAGUGUAGGCCAGAAAGGAUAAACCACUGUCAAUUAACACUAAUGAUUCUUAAUUAGUAACGCUACAAGAAAACCCUAAUAAAACAAGUGUUAAACUAACACAAGAACAUUUCAAGAAAGAUUAAAAGAAAAAGAAGGAACUCGGCAAACACCAACCCCGCCUGUUUACCAAAAACAUCGCCUCUUGACAAAUAUAAGAGGUCCAGCCUGCCCAGUGACCUAGUUCAACGGCCGCGGUAUCCUAACCGUGCGAAGGUAGCGUAAUCACUUGUUCUUUAAAUGAGGACUAGUAUGAAUGGCACCACGAGGGUUACACUGUCUCCUUUUUUUAAUCAGUGAAACUAAUCUCCCCGUGAAGAAGCGGGAAUUUUUUUAUAAGACGAGAAGACCCUAUGGAGCUUUAAACAAAUUAACACUUGCUGCCCAAAAUACCUCUCCUAGGAGCACAAUAUAUAGCAUGGCAUCAUGAUUAAUAGUUUUUGAUUGGGGUGAUCACGGAGUAAAAAACAACCUCCAUGUCGAAAGGGUUUCCCCCCUGAGCACAAAGCCACAACUUUAAGCACUAAAAAAUUAACGUUUAUUGACCCAAUAUUUUGAUCAACGAACCAAGUUACCCUAGGGAUAACAGCGCAAUCCACUUCAAGAGCCCCUAUCGACAAGUGGGUUUACGACCUCGAUGUUGGAUCAGGGCAUCCUAGUGGUGCAGCCGCUACUAAUGGUUCGUUUGUUCAACGAUUAAAGCCCU
rnacentral:rRNA from 1 species